rnacentral:rRNA from 1 species
AUUGAACGCUAGCGGGAUGCUUUACACAUGCAAGUCGAACGGCAGCGCGGACUUCGGUCUGGCGGCGAGUGGCGAACGGGUGAGUAAUGUAUCGGAACGUGCCCGGUAGCGGGGGAUAACUACGCGAAAGCGUAGCUAAUACCGCAUACGCCCUACGGGGGAAAGCAGGGGAUCGUAAGACCUUGCCCUCUUGGAGCGGCCGAUAUCGGAUUAGCUAGUUGGUGAGGUAACGGCUCACCAAGGCGACGAUCCGCAGCUGGUUUGAGAGGACGACCAGCCACACUGGGACUGGGACACGGCCCAGGCUCCUACGGGAGGCAGCAGUGGGGAAUUUUGGCCAAUGGGGGCAAACCUGAUCCAGCCAUCCCGCGUGUGAGAUGAAGGCCUUCGGGUUGUAAAGCACUUUUGGCAGGAAAGAACCGUCGCCGGCUAAUACCCCGUGGAACUGACGGUACCUGCAGAAUAAGCACCGGCUAACUACGUG